rnacentral:rRNA from 1 species
CAGCAGCCGCGGUAAUACGUAGGGCGCAAGCGUUGUCCGGAAUCAUUGGGCGUAAAGAGCUCGUAGGUGGCCGGUCGCGUCUGCCGUGAAAGCCCGCAGCUUAACUGCGGGUCUGCGGUGGAUACGGGCCGGCUAGAGGUAGGCAGGGGCAAGUGGAAUUCCUGGUGUAGCGGUGAAAUGCGCAGAUAUCAGGAGGAACACCGGUGGCGAAGGCGGCUUGCUGGGCCUUACCUGACGCUGAGGAGCGAAAGCGUGGGGAGCGAACAGGAUUAGAUACCCUGGUAGUCCACGCCGUAAACGUUGGGCGCUAGGUGUGGGAUCCUUCCACGGGUUCCGUGCCGGAGCUAACGCAUUAAGCGCCCCGCCUGGGGAGUACGGCCGCAAGGCUAAAACUCAAAGGAAUUGACGGGGGCCCGCACAAGCGGCGGAGCAUGUUGCUUAAUUCGACGCAACGCGAAGAACCUUACCAAGGUUUGACAUCACCCGGACAGCCGCAGAGAUGUGGUGUUCUUCGGACUGGGUGACAGGUGGUGCAUGGCC